UCUGUGAACCGGUAUCAAACAAAAAUGUCCCGCUUUUAGCUUUCGUACAUUUCUCCUUGAUGUGGACCGUCGAAGAAAAUGGAUUCAAGCCACGAAGAGAGAGGAGGGAACACUAUUUAACGUCUAAAAUGUCACAGUUGUUUGUAGCAUAGCAUUUUCGUAUUAGCGACCUGUUCGGAAUAGCUAGCUUCUAACGUUAGCGCUUUAAGUAAAGCCAGGUAGAUUUAAAUAAGACGGUGCCUUGUGUUUGUUCAACGGUCUCUGACACAACCCAAGCCAGGACGUCUGUUUUCACGACGACAACGAGGGACUGGGGUUGUUUGAGAAGUCCAACCGUGUGGAAAGGAAGAUGUUGCUGUUGCUAGCUUAGCUAGCUCUGCUUCGGACAACGAACGACCGUCCCGGUGCAUUGGAUGCAGCUCACACGAGGAUAAAGGAACUGGAGGUGCUUGUGUUGACACGACAUCAAUGAGGGUAAUUCGUCUCACCAAGUCCUCCCCUCGGAAAUGUCUGACUUGGUGUCAGUGACUGUCACACCAGGGAAGGGAAGGCUAGUGACCACAAGCUAACCUUGCUCCCAGAUGGAUCACAACAAAGCCACA